CAAGGAAACACACAACACCGAAACACAACAUCAGGAUCAUCAGGGAUGUGAAGCUCGUCCUCCGCUAUCAGUUCGAGAAGACCCACUAUCAGAGGUUCUCAGACAGAUAAGGGUGCGCCCAGUACAUUAUGCAGCGAGUCAGCAUUUUGUUUUGUACAGUACAUAAACUGGACAUUUCUGGCAAGCAGAGACCAUUGGGGAUUUUUUAUAAAUACAGGAAGCAGACGCUCAGAGAAACCAGCCUCCCGUCAAAAUGGAGACUUCUAUGAAAGGAUGUGGAAAACAAGCAGGGAUUUCCAUCUUCUAUGAGCCCUUUAUGUCUUAAAAUAUUAUGGCAUAAGAUAUCUGAAAUGUCAUUGGAUGGCAGCUAAAACAUGACAUCCCUCUUCCUCCACUGGUGGAUCCUGGCUCACCCUGUUCCAGCGUAACAUUUCACCAGGCGUAGAAAAACAUCUCUAGCCAACGUUUCUUUGUGUCCCUGAACUUGAACUUCAUCCGUCCACUGAAAGGCACUGACAAGCUUGGCUCGCCCCAAACUCUGACCUUGAAUCAGGUACCAGGGAAAUCCAGAAGACUGU